ACUGGAUCGUCUCGGGAUCUCAGGGGUGCGGGGCUUUGGGGCGUCGCCUGGUCAGUGUCUGUGGACUGAGUGAACCACAGCG